AGAGUUUGAUCAUGGCUCAGGACGAACGCUGGCGGCGUGCCUAACACAUGCAAGUCGAGCGGGGAGAAGAAUUCGUUUUUCUCUUUAGCGGCGGACGGGUGAGUAACACGUGGGUAACCUGCCUCAAAGAGGGGGAUAGCCUUCCGAAAGGAAGAUUAAUACCGCAUAAAAUCAUAGCACUGCAUGGUGCUGUGAUCAAAGGAGCAAUCCGCUUUGAGAUGGACCCGCGGCGCAUUAGCUAGUUGGUGAGGUAACGGCCCACCAAGGCGACGAUGCGUAGCCGACCUGAGAGGGUGAUCGGCCACAUUGGAACUGAGACACGGUCCAGACUCCUACGGGAGGCAGCAGUGGGGAAUAUUGCACAAUGGGGGAAACCCUGAUGCAGCAACGCCGCGUGAGUGAUGAAGGCCUUCGGGUCGUAAAGCUCUUUGAUCAGGGACGAUAAUGACGGUACCUGAAAAACAAGCCACGGCUAACUACGUGCCAGCAGCCGCGGUAAUACGUAGGUGGCGAGCGUUGUCCGGAUUUACUGGGCGUAAAGAAUGCGUAGGUGGAUAUUUAAGUGGGAUGUGAAAUCCCCGGGCUCAACCCGGGAACUGCAUACCAAACUGGAUAUCUGGAGUGCAGGAGAGGAAAGCGGAAUUCCUAGUGUAGCGGUGAAAUGCGUAGAUAUUAGGAGGAACACCAGUGGCGAAGGCGGCUUUCUGGACUGUAACUGACACUGAGGCAUGAAAGCGUGGGGAGCAAACAGGAUUAGAUACCCUGGUAGUCCACGCCGUAAACUAUGGGUACUAGGUGUAGGGGGUAUCGACUCCCCCUGUGCCGCCGUUAACACAAUAAGUACCCCGCCUGGGGAGUACGGUCGCAAGACUAAAACUCAAGGGAUUUGACGG
rnacentral:rRNA from 1 species